UACAGAGGGUGCAAGCGUUGUUCGGAAUUAUUGGGCGUAAAGCGCGUGUAGGCGGCUUUGCAAGUCGCGUGUGAAAUCCCUCGGCCCAACCGAGGAACUGCGCCCGAGACUGCUUCUCUUGAGUCCCGGAGAGGAAGGUGGAAUUCCCGGUGUAGCGGUGAAAUGUGUAGAGAUCGGGAGGAACACCGGUGGCGAAGGCGGGUCUCUGGGCAACAACUGACGCUGAGGAGCGAAAGCGUGGGGAGCGAACAGG
rnacentral:rRNA from 1 species